UUCUCGGCCAGGUUCCGGAUCCCGAAGCCCCUGCGCGGGCUCGCCGCCACCGCCGCAUCGCCGGCCGGACGGUGGUCGGCCUGUCCCCCCAGCCGCUUGCCCGCUUCCCUCUCCUCUUCCAGCUUCCUCUAUCCGCCGGCCUCCUCUUUCCUGGCAUGGGUGGCGACGGCGGACGGUUGCCACAGGCACUUGUGAUGUGUGUCGGCGCCUUCGCUGUUCGUUUUCGCGGCGGCGCGGGCGGGACACCAUGGCUGUGCGCCUGCGGUGGCCUGGGGCUCUGGCUGGGUGCCGCCGGGCAGAAUGGCUUGGCUUUUGACGGCUGCGGCAGGAGAGGUUGCGGAGACCGGCGGCAGCAGCACUACUGUAUUUCUGAGAGCUGCGUGUCUUUGUAUUAAUAGGGAGAAAAGGCGGUCAAGUACACGCCGAAUCCACGGCUUGGGUACUUUGAGUUACAGAAUAGUGUACGGUAAAUCAUCUCAUAUAGGAGUAUCUUUAUCAAGGGGGUGCAUGAGCUAACUACCACGUUCUUAUGUGGUGGUCGACCUCAUUUUUGCCCUUGUUACCCGGCUCAUUAUGAUUGGUACUUGGUAGCAUUACAUAGAUGUGCCUUCAUUUACAGUACCUAUGGAUUAUUGUCUGUGCUAGUGUGCUUCGGUUUCGUGGAUCUAAUAUGUGACUGUGCUUGUGUAGUUAUUUCUUCUUAAGUUAAGAUGAGACACGACUCAUUGACAGUGGAUCCGUCUGGAAGAGAGGUGAGAGUGACCAUACAUUUAAUCUGAAAGAGGGAUAAAACAGCAGCAGGAACUGGUUGGUUACUGUUAUUAGGUAUUUUUCCCUUUUAUUUGGCAGGUAUGUCUUGUUUUAUAGUUGGUACCAGUAGCAUUAUAUUGUAGCUAGCAGUGGCGGCAUGUUUACAUAGUGAGUGAAAAUUCUUAGAGAUGUUAAAUGGUUUAUAUAGUUUCAGAGAAAUUUGGGAGGAGAUUGGAAAUCGGACAGGUGUCAGCCUUGUUAAUUAUUUUGUGCCACUGCUGCUAGUUUGUUUCUGUCUUUAGAUCGUACUACGGUUAACAGGGAGAGAGGAGAGAGAGCAUAAGUUAGCAUCAUGUGGGAAACUUGAGAGGAACUAACUUCCAUUUGUUCUCAAUGGAGCUUCAGAAAUCACACAGAACAUGUAAAUAUGCAUGUAAGGUAGGUGGAUAUAGCCCAAUUAAUGAUACACAUAUAUGUUGAUGUACAUUAACUUGAAUUGUACAGGUCAUACACAAAGCUGGUACUCAUGAAACAUUGUAGAAACUUCAAAAUGCUAGGGUGGUAAUUACUGCAGAUGGUACAGUAGAGCAAACAACUGAAAAUAGACUUCUCUCCUUGUGUGUCGUAGUUGAGCUGUGCAAGCGUUACCAAGAAAAUGAGGAAGCAAUAUCAGUGUUAGUAGUACUGGUGUCAGUUAAUAAAUUAGCAAACAUAACAGAACACCCAGAAAGUCCUCCAUUUCACAUUUUCCGUCUUAGACUGAGAAGCUAGAUGCAAACUGAAGUCUUCAUACCUGUACUGACCACUGCAUUUCAGAGAUGUGCAUGUUGUGUCUCUGAACUUGUAUGGAGAUCAAGUGAGUCAAAAUCAAAACCAUACAUCACAGGUUUCUCUUUUUGGUGGUAUCUUGAUUCACCUGCAAAUCAAAGAUGCACAGCUUCCCUGCGCAUUCCUUUAAAAGAAACAGGGUCUGAACAACGAGGUAAAGGCCUGGCAUGAAGGAUAAGAGCUGUCCAGGCUAGCCAAGGAGACUGCCUAUGACAUCAGUCACCUGCCUGCUUAACAGUACGCAAGCAGGCGAGCAAGCAACGCCUCAGGCAAGUCAUCCUUGGCUAUCAGGACCAGACACUUAUCACCAUGCAAGGCCUCACCUCGUCCUCUAUAGGCACUUGGUUGGCUUGUGUACUGCCAUGAAUACAACAUGGCACUGCAUGCCUAUUUAUAGUCUGAUACUCUGAUGCCAUCAGUGAAGGGCAUGUUUCGCUUCCUCUCCUCCUUUUUGCCUGAUCAGAAAUAUGCAUGCAAACAGGACAUGUUCCUUUAAAUGGUUGGGGGUCCCUCAUGGCCCGUCUUUUUUGGUGACAUUUGUUUCUGCAAAGCUGCCUUGGAAUAUUUCCAAUUGGCAGCAACGAUGAUGACCUAUACACACAUAGGUUGACCUUGGCUACAUAACACAGUUAUACGGAUGCAGACAUCACAUGUGGUUAGGUAACUGACCUGAAAUCAAGUAAAUACAGAGAGAAUCUGAUGACCAGCGAAUGAUAUCAGAUUAGCAUUUGUCCUGCGACCAAAUAUAUGCCUUUGAUAGAUUUGGCAAUGGGAAUAGUUCCUGCCUAUCUUCCACGUCAAAAAGGUGUCAGUGCUGACCUUCAAUCCCAAGGGUGUAUAUCUCUCCUAAAACUCACCGAUGACGCUCACGGCCACAGGUCACAGCCUAGGGCCUCCACACUCCACACCAAGAACAAUGCGCGGUGCAGAACCAGAAUGGUGAUGCAGACAAAAGAUGUCAUGAAGAAGAUGAGACCAGCAGCAUUUUUCUA